AGAGUUUGAUUCUGGCUCAGGAUGAACGCUAGCGAUAGGCCUAACACAUGCAAGUCGAGGGGCAGCACAUGAAGUAGCAAUACGGAUGGUGGCGACCGGCGCACGGGUGAGUAACGCGUAUGCAACCUGCCUACAACAGGGGAAUAACCCGUUGAAAGACGGACUAAUACCCCAUAACACAGGGAUCCCGCAUGGGAAUAUUUGUUAAAGAUUUAUCGGUUGUAGAUGGGCAUGCGUUCCAUUAGCUUGUUGGUGAGGUAACGGCUCACCAAGGCAACGAUGGAUAGGGGAACUGAGAGGUUUAUCCCCCACACUGGUACUGAGACACGGACCAGACUCCUACGGGAGGUAGCAGUGAGGAAUAUUGGUCAAUGGACGCAAGUCUGAACCAGCCACGUCGCGUGAAGGAAGACGGCCCUACGGGUUGUAAACUUCUUUUGUAAGGGAAUAAAGUGUAGUACGUGUACUAUUUUGCAUGUACCUUACGAAUAAGGAUCGGCUAACUCCGUGCCAGCAGCCGCGGUAAUACGGAGGAUCCGAGCGUUAUCCGGAUUUAUUGGGUUUAAAGGGUGCGCAGGCGGGAGAUUAAGUCGGCGGUGAAAUUUUGCAGCUCAACUGUAAAAGUGCCUUCGAAACUGGUUUCCUUGAGUGUGGAUGAAGUAGGCGGAAUUUGUGGUGUAGCGGUGAAAUGCAUAGAUAUCACGAGGAACUCCGAUUGCGCAGGCAGCUUACUAAACCAUAACUGACGCUCAGGCACGAAGGCGUGGGGAUCAAACAGGAUUAGAUACCCUGGUAGUC
rnacentral:rRNA from 1 species